rnacentral:tRNA from 2 species
GGAGAGGUGCCGGAGUGGCCGAACGGGCACGACUGGAAAUCGUGUAGGGGCCGAAAGUCUCUCGCGGGUUCGAAUCCCGCCCUCUCCGCCA